rnacentral:lncRNA from 1 species
CACAUUCGAUCUAUCCGAUCGUCGGGUACCAUUGCUAGAUAGUCACCUUGAUUGGUACAAAAAUUUAUUUUUGUGCUACUAACUUAGGUUUGGACCUAUAAAGUCACACACAUUAGAGUUCAUGAUCCAAUUGGAUAGUUGAUCAACGAUUAAGAAUCAUUCUAGAGUUAAAUGAUUAAUACGAUUAACAUUUAACUUAGUGCAAGUGUUGCAGGAG